GACGUAGGAUGCAAGCGUUGUCCGGAUUUAUUGGGCGUAAAGAGUUCGUAGGCGGUUCGUUAAGUCUGAUGUUAAAUAUCGGGGCUCAACCUCGGGAGUGCAUUGGAUACUGGCGGACUGGAGUGUGGUAGAGGUUAGUGGAGUUCCCAGUGUAGCGGUGAAAUGCGUAGAUAUCAGGAGGAACACCUGCGGUGUAGACGGCUUACUGGACCAUAACUGACGCUGAGGCACGAAAGCGUGGGUAGCAAACAGG
rnacentral:rRNA from 1 species